rnacentral:lncRNA from 1 species
CGGAAGUCCAGCUGCUCGUGCCCUGGGAAGAGCAGCCUGGGAAGAGAGAAACCCUUCCCCUGCCUUCAUGUGUCCUAGGCUACUUAAGUUAUUCACAACAGCGAGAAAGUUCGAGGCCUGUCAGGAACCGAGAAAAACUGAUGUCUUGGCCUGCAGUGACUCCAAAUCCCAUAAUAUUUCCAAUUUUCCCCUCUACUAAGUAAGUCUCAGAAAGUGACAUUUUUAUUGUACGUGAUUGAUUUAAUUCAGGCAAAUAUUGCAGCUGAGUAAAGACUUCAUCCUAGUGAGAAAUACUUUGCUAUGAAUAAAAUGUUAGAUUCUUUAUUUUUAUUUUUAAGAAUUUAGGGGCUGAUUUUCUCUGUAUCUGUGUUCAGAAUAAUGUUAGUGUCUUCACUUGAAAGUUUUUAAUACUUUACUUAAAUAUAUUCAGUAAAUUCUUUCUGUUUGUUGAUUUGUUUUCCAGAGACAGGAUUUUACUCAGUAGCUUUGGUUUGCCUGGUAUUAACUAUGUU